AUCACAAUAAUGAAAUUACAUUCUAAAAUGCAAUAUGGUUCUAUUCAAAAAAACUCAAUACCUAUCACUGUGAAAAUGAACCCAAGUGACUGAGAGAAAACUUCACAAGACAAAUGUGAAACAGACAAGGAAGUAGUAAAAUUAAGCAAUACCCUUAAAAGAAAUAUUUUCUAUCUUGUACUCCUUUUGUUUCUGUGAUUACCCCCCCCCACUCAUCUCUAGAAUUUGCAAUGUGCAAAUUCUAGAGAUUAAUAGAUUAGCAGCUACUACCCUUGAAACACAGAGGUAAAAACUGCACACUUCGUGUAAUGUUUUCCAAGAGAGGAGAAUCUUUCAUAGAUGAGAAAAUGUGCCCACCACCUGAUAUAAGCUGUAGUAACAUCAAAAGAAAAAUAAGUAACUGUAGUUUACUUCACUAGAACAAGCAAACCUACCAAGAGAGAACUAAAUGGCACAAUGCAGGUUAAGAAUCUGAGAUUCCGUAGUAACUAAAACUGAC